rnacentral:rRNA from 1 species
GGGGAAUAUUGCACAAUGGGGGAAACCCUGAUGCAGCGACGCCGCGUGGAGGAAGAAGGUCUUCGGAUUGUAAACUCCUGUUGUUGGGGAAGAUAAUGACGGUACCCAACAAGGAAGUGACGGCUAACUACGUGCCAGCAGCCGCGGUAAAACGUAGGUCACAAGCGUUGUCCGGAAUUACUGGGUGUAAAGGGAGCGCAGGCGGGAAGACAAGUUGGAAGUGAAAUCUAUGGGCUCAACCCAUAAACUGCUUUCAAAACUGUUUUUCUUGAGUAGUGCAGAGGUAGGCGGAAUUCCCGGUGUAGCGGUGGAAUGCGUAGAUAUCGGGAGGAACACCAGUGGCGAAGGCGGCCUACUGGGCUUUAACUGACGCUGAGGCUCGAAAGUGUGGGUAGCAAACAGGAUUAGAUACCCUGGUAGUCCACACCGUAAACGAUGAUUACUAGGUGUUGGAGGAUUGACCCCUUCAGUGCCGCAGUUAACACAAUAAGUAAUCCACCUGGGGAGUACGACCGCAAGGUUGAAACUCAAAGGAAUUGACGGGGGCCCGCACAAGCAGUGGAGUAUGUGGUUUAAUUCGACGCAACGCGAAGAACCUUACCAAGUCUUGACAUCCCUUGACGAUGCUGGAAACAGUAUUUCUCUUCGGAGCAAGGAGACAGGUGGUGCAUGGUUGUCGUCAGCUCGUGUCGUGAGAUGUUGGGUUAAGUCCCGCAACGAGCGCAACCCUUAUGGUCAGUUACUACGCAAGAGGACUCUGGCCAGACUGCCGUUGACAAAACGGAGGAAGGUGGGGAUGACGUCAAAUCAUCAUGCCCUUUAUGACUUGGGCUACACACGUACUACAAUGGCGUUAAACAAAGAGAAGCAAGACCGCGAGGUGGAGCAAAACUCAGAAACAACGUCCCAGUUCGGACUGCAGGCUGCAACUCGCCUGCACGAAGUCGGAAUUGCUAGUAAUCGUGGAUCAGCAUGCCACGGUGAAUACGUUCCCG